UUGUUGAGUUUCCUUAAGAUCAUUAUUUUGAAUUUGGCAAUUAAUUGAUUUCUUUUUUAUUGGGGUCUGUAGCUAGAGAGUUAUUAUGUACCUUUGGCGGUGUCAUAUUUCCUUGCUUUUUCAUGUUUCUUGUGCUCCUGCACUGAUGUUUGUGCAUCUGUUAGGACAAUAGCCACUUCCAAACUUUGUAGAGUGACUCAUAGAGAAAGACUUUCACUUGCAUUUGGGUUUUAGUGGGCUUGCUGGAGAGGGUGUGGUGACUCUGCUUCCAGAUAGAUGCAGUGAUAUAGUUUUCUUUGUUGAAUGAAGUCUUCUUCAGCUUCAUUCAAUGCCAGCAGUAACUAUGGACACUUCAGUGACCUAGGCUGUAGAAGUUUGUGGCAGCAGUGUAGGAUGUUAAUGUCCUCAGUGUCAAGGGCUUUUGAGGUCCUCCUAUUCUCAUUUUUUCCCCACAGUGGGGGGACCUGUCUGAGGGGUUCUCCUUUGCCAUCAGGUCUGACACAGCCUACAAGCAGCUACAGUGGUGCUGAUUCCAACUGCAGGUGCUCAGAGUGGCCAUGGGGCUGGGAUCCUAGGCUCAGCAUCUGUGAACCUACUGCAGCACCUGUGCCUUGUGGUAUGUGGCAGGGUUUGGUGUAGGUUGCCCACAGAGCCAAUAUCUGUGACUCUGUGGCAACCCCUAGCUGCUUGGGCCCAGGGGCUGGUUUAUAGCUGUGAUUCUACCCCUGGGGACAAAGCAUAGCACUGGCCUGACUCCUGGGAAGAAGGGCUGCUUUGCAGAUUUGAGCCUGAGGAGCAGAAUAUGGCUGCAAUUCAGGAACCUGGGCCAAUAGAGCUCAUUGGCAACUCAGGUCCCAAAGGAUGAGGCAUCGUGUAGUGGUGACUCUAGACCCUGGGAUGGUGGGGCUUAGCAGUAUCCUAGAUUCUGUGACCCCAGAAUGCCAGAGCACAGCUGUCAUUUGGGCCUUGGGGUGGUGGGGGACAGGAAACAAAACAGCAGUGACUCCACUCCCCAGGGAGAGGGGUGUCUCAGCAGCUCAAACUCUAGGGGGCUAGUCCAGCUCCAGGGAAGUACUUGAGUAUUAUGGCCUGUGGGGGGUGCGAGUGUCUCAGUUCAGCCACUGCUCUGUUUCUCUGGGACCCGGGGUACUACAUAAGCUCAGCCCUGGGAUGUACAACUGCUCAGCUUAGCCAGGGCACUGAUUGCCCAGGGGAUGGUAUGCUAGUUCAGCUCAGGCCUGGGGGAUAUGACUAUUCUGGGAGGACCAGGCACCAUUUCCUGGGAUGCAGGGUGCUGCUUCAACUUAGGCACCAGGAAGGUGUGAUUGCUCUGAAUGGCCAAGAUACUGUUUUUCCAGGAGAGAGGGUAGUGCUUCAGCUCUGGCCUGGGGUAGGGAGGGGUAGGUAGAGUAGCUCCACCCUUGAUCCCAUGGGAAAGAGUAUAACAGCUGUUUGCAGCUCAGCUUGUGGAUGUUGGGCUACUAGACUGGGGUAGUUCAGUGAUGACUUAGCUUCAGGGAUGAAGAGGAGUUGUGGCUACUCACCCGCCGAGUAAGACACUCUAGCUGUAGUUGCAAUUCCAAGAUGGUGUAGCACAGUAGCUACACAGGCCACAGGGGGCGAGGCACAGUGUCAGCGUCUCCUCUGGAGGGAGCAUAGGUAUGUGGACUGGAGGCAGCUCCCUCAGCUGGGCUUAGUCCUUGUAAAGACUGCAGGGCACCCUACUGAUGAGGUCUGUAUGUGUUCGAGGUGUUGGUGGGGGUUGCUGGGAUCCUCUUGCUUACCUUCUUGCUGUAGGAAGAAGUUCCUCCUGGUUCCCAGAUGAUCCUGGUUUGGGGAUGGGGUAAGGCCCAGCAUUUCUUCCUUUCUUUAUUUGACUAUUCCAAGUUUCUGUGCUCACCAGGGUUUCUGUUACUUCUCUGAUGCACUCCAGUGCUCUCCCUGUUUUUUGUUUGUUUGAUUGUUUUGUUUCAUUAAAAUGUUGCUAUUCUGGCUUUCUUUGUGAAGGGGACAAGUGCUAGGAACUUCCAGUUGGCCAUCCUGCUGAUGUCACCAUGUAUUUUGCACUUGAUCUUAGCCAAAAGGCCGAGAAGCAAUCGUCACCACUUAUUUUGAAACAAUUAUAGAGUCACCGGAAGUUGUGAAGAAAUACU
rnacentral:lncRNA from 10 species